UGGGGAAUAUUGCACAAUGGGGGAAACCCUGAUGCAGCGACGCCGCGUGAACGAAGAAGGUAUUCGUAUCGUAAAGUUCUGUCCUAUGGGAAGAUAAUGACAAUACCAUAGAAGAAAGCUCCGGCUAAAUACGUGCCAGCAGCCGCGGUAAUACGUAUGGAGCGAGCGUUGUCCGGAAUUAUUGGGCGUAAAGGGUACGCAGGCGGUUUAAUAAGUCGAAUGUUAAAGAUCGGGGCUCAACCCCGCAAAGCAUUGGAAACUGAUAAACUUGAGUAGUGGAGAGGAAAGUGGAAUUCCUAGUGUAGUGGUGAAAUACGUAGAUAUUAGGAGGAAUACCAGUAGCGAAGGCGACUUUCUGGACACAAACUGACGCUGAGGUACGAAAGCGUGGGAAGCAAACAGG
rnacentral:rRNA from 1 species